rnacentral:tmRNA from 1 species
GGGGGCGACACGGCUUCGACGUGUCUGGUGAAUGUGAAGUAGCGUGCCGAGGUCCCCGGGGCCUCGUAAAUCAACCGGGAUUAUCACAACUGCCAACUCCAACAUGGCAAUGGCCGCCUAAGGUUUCUUAGAAACCUUCAGCGCAGCCCGUUUCUAGAGCAGCUCGCCUGAGGCGGCUCCUGAGACGUCGCAAAUUCGGGCUGGCUCUCCGGAUGGGCUGUCGAUCCGGAGGGCGAGAAUGAGACAGCUGGUCCCGAGAACGGCCGAUCGCCGGCCACGAGGGACGAGACCAAUCGGCGAUCUACGCACGUAGGCGCUUUGCUGGAUCCAGUCGCGGACGCGGGUUCGACUCCCGCCGCCUCCACUA